rnacentral:rRNA from 1 species
GACAGAGGGUGCAAACGUUGUUCGGAAUUACUGGGCGUAAAGCGUGUGUAGGCGGCCGCACAAGUCGGAUGUGAAAUCCCCGGGCUCAACCCGGGAAGUGCACCCGAAACUGCGAGGCUUGAGUACCGGAGAGGUUGGUGGAAUUCUCGGUGUAGAGGUGAAAUUCGUAGAUAUCGAGAGGAACACCGGUGGCGAAGGCGGCCAACUGGACGAGUACUGACGCUGAGACACGAAAGCGUGGGGAGCAAACAGG